CGGACGUGUCGCUCUUCGCUCCUCGCAAGAAUAUUUUAACCUUUCAGGGGCCCCGUAGGGGCCAAGGGCUCCGUUCCACCGUUCCACCUGUGCCAUUUUCUUCUGCCCUCCAACAGCGCGCCGCAAAGAUCCGCACACCCACGCGGGCCUCAGCUGCGCGUACGCAGACGCCUUUUUAUUUCGUUAGCGGAUUUGCGGAAGGCGAUCGCUCGCCAAGAGGAGCCGAAGAGCGCGGCAAACUUGGAUGGAGGCGCCCCCCUUCCCAACUUGGCCAAUUCCCGCCUUUUACUUUCUCCUCUCCCGUAUCCGCCUUUUUCGUCUCCACGACGCGACGUUUCCUCUUGAUUGGAGGGCCGCAUGUCGUGAGACUCGUCUACGUCGUCUUUGUCGUCGUCGUCGUGGUGGAUUUCGUUCGCGGAUCGUAAUUCACCUGCUACUGGAAAUCGUUAACAACCGGGCAAAAUGAAAGGCGCAGGGACAUCGAGGAAACGUAUCGGUUUGGAUCGGAAACGAAGACGAAGCAGGAAGUAAUUUUUCAUUCCGAUCUUAUUUCUCUUUGAUUUUGAUUCGCGUUUCGUGAAUAUUGUUGAUUAGAGUUUUAGAGCGUACAACAAGAGAAUGUACAUUUAGAAAAGGAAUUGAUUCUGACUGUUUCAAUUUUGCAAUAGAAUCGUAUUUUUAUUCUAGUGGAUGGAAGGAAGCGAUACUUGUAACAUGUUAAGAGGAUACCGAGCUUACAUCGAGAAAUGUACGCUAUUAAAAUUUUAGAUUUUUUUAGAUUUCAAAUUACAGAUGGAAUGUUAGAUAAAAUGGUACACAGGUAUAAUAGAAACGAGAAUUGAACGUGGGCAUAGAUGAAAUCAAUUCGAUUCAAU